rnacentral:tRNA from 1 species
AGUUAAUGAAUUUGUAACAAGUAUAUAUUUUGAAAAUAUAAGAAAGGAUAAAUUUCCUAUUAACUU